GUAGUCUCGCACAGAUGCAUAUCAAUAAGCGGAGGAAAAGGAAACUAACAAGGAUUCCCCUAGUAACGGCGAGUGAAGCGGGAAGAGCUCAAAUUUGAAAUCUUAAAGGGUUUCCCUUUACGAAUUGUAGUUUAAAGAAGUGUUUUCUGUUGAGGUUUUGGUAAAAGUUCUUUGGAAUAGGACAUCAUAGAGGGUGAGAAUCCCGUAUUUGACCUUUACUUUCAACUUUGUGAUACACUUUCAAAGAGUCGGAUUGUUUGGGAAUGCAGUCCAAAAUGGGUGGUAAAUUUCAUCUAAAGCUAAAUAUUGGCGAGAGACCGAUAGCGAACAAGUACCGUGAGGGAAAGAUGAAAAGAACUUUGAAAAGAGAGUUAAACAGUACGUGAAAUUGUCAAAAGGGAAGCGUUUGACACCAGUGUUGUUUUUCUGAAAAUCAAUUAAAGAACUGUUUAUGCUAAGCUGUUUAGACUUUAUCAGCUAUCUGUUUAGUUUUGAGCUUUUCUUUAAUGCACUUUUCAGUUAACAAGUCAACAUCAAUUUCUUUUGCUGUAAAAAAGCUUGAGGAAGGUGGCUUGAGAUUCGUCUUAAGUGUUUAUAGCCUCUUGCCUAUGCAGUCGGAGAGAUUGAGGUCUGCAGCGUAGAUCCUUCGGGGCUAAAUGCAUUUGUGCUAAGUUAUAGCAUUUUAUAGACAACUUGUUGACUAUGAUUUGUCUUGUAGCUUACUCGCUUAUGUUAUUUUACCUACGCUUAGGAUGUUGAUGUGAUACUGCGAGCA
rnacentral:rRNA from 1 species